GGAAGAAAGCAACCCUGAUUGCUGUGUGUGUGUUUGCAACCUGAAGCAUCUCACACCUGACUUCACAGCAUGUCUGAGGGGAAUCGCGGAAGAACUCCUGAACACGGAAAAUAUAACACGUGCAGGCGUUAACAGUUUCAGAAUAGAAUUAAGGUGGGAAAAACUACUCUCAGCGUGAUCAGUCAUCAGAAAUCCCUCUCUCCGUGUGUGUCAGUGUGUGAUGAUGGAGAGCAUCAGUGUGACGUGUGCAGAGGUUCAGAGCUCAGGCGGGUUUGAGCUGAGAGUUCCUGCUGACAGACUCACUCUCUUCAGUCAGUCUGACUGUGAACCGCUCUGGUACUCACAGGAUGAUCGUCUGAUAGCAGAUCCAUCAGCUCCUCAAACACUGAUUGAUUCUGUUAUUUCUGUCUCUUCUGAUCGUCUCGU